rfam:Dipodomys ordii contig_82542, whole genome shotgun sequence.
GGUUGGCUCAGUGGUAGAGUGCUUGCCUUGCAUGCAUGAGGCCCUAGGUUCGAUUCCUCAGCACCA